rnacentral:tRNA from 1 species
GCUGGGGCUCAGUGGUAAAGCACCUGCCUGGCCUGUGUGAGGACCUGGGUUCGAUUCUCAGCACCGCA